AUUAUUCAACCUCUGGGGUGAGAACAACGACCCGUCAUUAUUCAACCUCUGGGGAGGUAAAGACGGUAUGGCUGGGUUCCCAGACUUCAUCUAUAAACACAUCGUCCCAGCAUGCUUCCUGGCUCCUCUCAAACCWUCCUUUGAUCUCACAGACGCUCAGACCGUCCUGACGUUGUCAGAGUGUGCGCUCACCUUGAAAAUGAUUCAUCUCAGAAGAGGUCCGGAGUUUAUCCAGUACCUCAGGAGUACCUGCCUUCUCUUUCAGGUGUCACCUGAAAU